UUUUCACCCGCACGAGGAGAGAGAAAUUUGAGGGUUUCCACCAUGGCUAGGCUCUCGGCUUGUUCGGCGGAGGAGGCGAGGACGUCCUUGGCAAAGCCGUCGAUCAAGAUCCCAGCUGAGUUGCGGCAUACACAAGCUAUUGAACCUUCAAAGGAAACAGGUUGCAACUGUGGGUCCGGGAGGAGCCUUCUAAAGAUGAGGCUAUUCCUUGCUUUCCAGAUUUCCCAAAGGACAACAGAGACUAACUCAAAUUCAGGGGAGUUGUUGCUGCUUUGGGUAUGAAUUUAAUCAGCCAUUCAUCAAAGCGGGAAGUUUGGUAUUUUGAGAUCUGGAUGUUGAGUGCAGGAACAUCCCAGACUUCUCUCGUCCACUUGCAUAGUAGGAAUAGAUGUUCUGUGGUUUCUGCAUGAACUCGGCAGAAUGGGCAAUUCAGAUCAGGUACCAGUUUCCUUAUGUACAAAUUUUCCUUCGUUGGUAGUGCGUUUUGGCAUACGCUUCAUACAAAGUUUCUGAUUUUGUGGGGAGUUUUCAUUCUCCAUAUCCUGUUCCAGAGUUUAGUAGGAGUUUGAUGAGAGGAGGAGGCAGGUUGAGUUUCUGUGUUUACCUUUUUUCGAAGAGUGUUGUAACCGCUCUUAACAGUGUAGUCGCCUUCCUUCGUGCCCAUCCAGAUCAGUUUGUCUUCAUUCAUUUGUGGUCCGAUAUGUACUGUGAGGAUCUCUCGUACUACCUGUUCAUCGAAUAGUCGUCGCAAAAGCGGUUCCUUCCAUGUGCUUUCCUCUUGGUCUAUCAAUUCAUCAACCUUUUUUGGGUCCCCCGCAUUAGCCGGUCCCCCUAUAAUUCCCUUUUGAGCCACUUAUCCUCCCUGAUGUUAAUAUUGUGCCCAUUCCCUACUGACCACAUGACUGAGUCUUCAAUUGAUGUGCGCCCCAUGAGUAUGCUCUGCCAUCCCCAAGAUGGUCUGGAUCCCUUCUCUGCCUUCCAGAAGCUCUUGGUUGGGUAGUAGAUACCCUUUAAAACUUGACUGCACAGAGUUGUAUGAUUUUGUGCUAAUUGCCAAGCUUGUUUACCCAGCAUGGCCUUGUUAAAAGAUAUUAAAUCCCUAAACCCAAGGCCUCCCCUGUCGUUUCUCUGUUUGAGAACUUCGGCCUUCCUCCAGUGCACUCCUUUUGUUGCUGGUUGGUUCUUCCACCAGAAGGCUGUGAUUUUUUUCUCAAUAGCUCGACAUACUGAAAGUGGAAUCUUGAAAAUUGACAUAGCAUAUUGUGGUAAUGCUUGGACAACAGUUUUGAUCAGAAUUUCUUUCCCCGCUUUAGACAUUGUGUUCUCUUUCCACCCUUCAAGCUUCAUAUUUACCCUUGCUAAGAUCCAAGCAAACAUUUGCUUUUUAGAUGCUCCCCAAUCAAAAGGAAUACCCAAGUACUUCCCUGUCUUUUCAAUCUCUGGGACUCUUAGUUCUCUAGCCAUAUUACUUCUUAAUUCACUAGGGCAGUCCUUGCUGAAAUAUAUCCCUGACUUGUUCAAGUUAACCGCUUGUCCUGAGGCAAAGCAAUACUGGUGAAUGAUUGCAGCUAGGUUCUGACAUUCUUGUAGCUUACCAUCGAGGAAAAA